rnacentral:rRNA from 1 species
UACGCAGGGGGCUAGCGUUGUUCGGAAUUACUGGGCGUAAAGCGCAUGUAGGCGGAUAUUUAAGUCAGGGGUGAAAUCCCGAGGCUCAACCUCGGAACUGCCUUUGAUACUGGAUGUCUUGAGUGUGAGAGAGGUGAGUGGAACUCCGAGUGUAGAGGUGAAAUUCGUAGAUAUUCGGCGGAACACCAGUGGCGAAGGCGACUCACUGGCCCGAUACUGACGCUGAGGCGCGAAAGCGUGGGGAGCAAACAGG